AAUCAACGCUGGCGGCGUGCCUCAGACAUGCAAGUCGAACGCUGCUGUUCGCCUUCGGGUGGACAGCGGAGUGGCGCACGGGUGAGUAACACGUAGGUAAUCUACCUUUGGGUGGGAAGUAACAGCCGGAAACGGACUGCUAAUACCGCAUAAUGCAGCGGCAUCACAUGAUGACAGUUGUUAAGACGAGGGAGUCGUAAGACCUCGCGCCUGAAGAGGAGCCUGCGGCAGAUUAGGUAGUUGGUGAGGUAAUGGCUCACCAAGCCUGCGAUCUGUAACCGGCCUGAGAGGGCGGUCGGGUCACACUGACACUGACAUACGGGUC
rnacentral:rRNA from 1 species